UACGUAGGGUGCGAGCGUUGUCCGGAAUUAUUGGGCGUAAAGAGCUCGUAGGCGGCUUGUCGCGUCGGAUGUGAAAGCCCGGGGCUUAACUCCGGGUCUGCAUUCGAUACGGGCAGGCUAGAGUUCGGUAGGGGAGAUCGGAAUUCCUGGUGUAGCGGUGAAAAUGCGCAGGAUAUCAGGAGGAACACCGGUGGCGAAGGCGGAUCUCUGGGCCGAUACUGACGCUGGAGGAGCGAAAGCCGUGGGGAGCGAAACAGG
rnacentral:rRNA from 1 species